GAAGGCAUUCGUAUCCGGUGGUACGGCCGGACUUCAAAUCCGGUUAGGGGCGUCAGACGCUCCUGGGUCAGUUCGACUCUGGCUGCCUUCCGCCA
rnacentral:tRNA from 1 species